GACGGAGGGGGCUAGCGUUGUUCGGAAUUACUGGGCGUAAAGAGCGCGCAGGCGGUCGAUCAAGUCGCGUGUGAAAGCCCCCGGCUCAACUGGGGAGGGUCACGCGAUACUGAUCGACUCGAAGGCAGGAGAGGGUAGUGGAAUUCCCGGUGUAGUGGUGAAAUGCGUAGAUAUCGGGAGGAACACCAGUGGCGAAGGCGACUACCUGGCCUGUUCUUGACGCUGAGGCGCGAAAGCUAGGGGAGCAAACGGG
rnacentral:rRNA from 1 species